GCCUUCGUGGUGUAGUGGUCAGCACACUGAGCCUGUAUUUCAGAGGUCCGUGGUUCGAUUCCCGGCGAAGGCC
rnacentral:tRNA from 1 species